rnacentral:rRNA from 1 species
CCUGGCGGCCAUAGCGUUGUGGAACCACCUGAUUCCAUGCCGAACUCAGUAGUGAAACGCGACCGCGCCGAUGAUAGUGUGGCAGCUGCCAUGUGAAAGUAGGUCACUGCCAGGC